rnacentral:lncRNA from 7 species
AACGAGGCCUGGCGUGAGGUCACCGCUUCACGCGGCGCCGCGAUCGUAAAAGGGACUGCGUGUGCAGCGGGGCUGAGGCUGAGGUGCUCUCCUUAGUGUUUAAAUGGAUUCCCCUCCUGAUGCUUUGCUGCUUCAGUGUAACUGCAUCCCCGCCAAGGCCAUGAUGAAGGCAGCCCUUCCAGCUGGCUGCAUGGAUGCCAGAAGUGUCAGAUAAUGGAGAAUGGGACACCACAUCCCCCCCUCAGUUCUUGGAAGCCCUUCUCACCACCCACAUGGUGCUGGCAAGUCCCUGCUGAUGACAACUUCUGCAAGGCAGAGGCAAUGAACAUCCAACGUGAAACAAAACUGGGAAAAGGAAAUAGAAUAGGGCUCAGACCAUAAUAGCCUGGAAUUUUAUGUAUUUCUCUUCCUUUGAAUGAUAUAGGUAAGAACCCAUAACACAAACAUACACUUGGAAACUGAACAGUGAACAAGUCACAUUCAGAUGUGACUUUGGAAAAAGUGCAGUAUGUAUUUCAAGGCACUUGGUGAUUUGCCCAUCCUAUCAGAGAGCUCACAAAGUGUAUCUCAUUUAUCAGAAUUAACUCGAGAUCUUGUGAGUCUCAUAAUUACUCAAAAAGCUACUGAUACUGACAUAAAUUGUAAUAGAGAUGUCAUAAGGCACAAACAAAUACACUGUGUGAAUCCCACAGCUGUGCAUGUAUCAGUGCACAUGGGUUAAUUGUGUUUUCUUGCUUCUGCUAACAGUAUACUUGCCUCUACUGAUAUCAGCUGACAAGUUUCUAAUACACAGCUCUGACAGUCAAAAAUCUGCUUAUACUUUCAGCACAGGUAGUCUUAUUUUUUGUUUUUAAUUUGUUGCAUAACAUUUAAAGCAUUUCUGAAAAUUGCUGGAGUAAUGAGUAUGAGGGAAUUCUGACCACUGCAAUCAAAAUCAUUCUUCACACUUCACCUGAAACUGCCAAAUAUUAUGUUCUGCUUUCAGAUCUCAGGGGAGCACAUAGCGUUUUGGGAUUUUUUUGUUGUUGAGAGCAUGAAAGUUAGAGGAGGGAAUGCUCUCCUGUCUGCUUCACAGAACAGCAGUUACUGCUUAAUUUUCUGUCCUCUCUGUACACGUUGCUUUGGAAGACAUUUUGACAUACUCUCGAGUCAUUGCGUUAUAUAUACACUGAUGAACAAAUGUGACAAGCCUUUCCAGUCUCUGCAUUCCACUGAAUUCUUUAUGUCAGUACCCAAUUCUUUUCACCUCCAAUAGGUUCCACUCAUAUGCAUAAUGCAGUGAACCACAGAAAACCCAAAGCAUCUUUUCUUCAGUCUCUUUAGUAGAAGAAUUCUUGCACGUUUUCAUUUAUUUUUUCCAUGCAUGUUGAGGGAAAAUAUGCAGAUACAUAAUUUCUAUUACUUUAUUAAUGGCUCCUUGAAGUUAUUUAUUACCCUAAUGUGCUAAGUAUAAAAUUAAGCUUAUCAACAAUUGUUUUGUGUCUUUAGAACAGAAAUAGUAAAUAGUUACAGUCAAAAUAUAGGCCAAAUCUGAACAUAGUCUGUCAAUCCAUGAACAUAUUACUAGACUGCAUCUCGUGGGCAUAACUGAAACCUGCAUUUGGUGACUCAGCUAACUCCUCUCUUGCACGAUAAUAAGUAAUUUAAAAAGAUACAGCAGCACUACUUGUAACUAAUGAAUAUUUUCCUCUGGAAAAAAAAAAUGGCCUUGAAAAAAGCCUAUAAGUCCAAGAGAAAAUCAGUUCAGUUAGCGGUUCUGAUUGAAUCUUGACAUACCUAUUGCUGUCUGUCUCUUUGCAUUACAUUUAAUACAUUUACAAUGCAGAAAAUACUAUGAUGUUUUCCUGUGUUACUUUUUUAAUUUCUACAUAGGAACUCAAGCUCAAUCUGUGACUUCUUAAGACUUCUGUAUUUGUGCAGUUCACAAAUAUUUAAGCUGUUGUUUUUUACUCCAGCGAAGAUGGAGCAGAGCUUAUGAUGACAGUGAGGCAGCUCUGAAGAGUUGGUUUGUAAGGCUAUACUGUAUGACUGUUAGCUUGCUCACUCAGAUACCAUGCUUGCAUGCACUACACUUCUAUGAUGUGACUUCUCC